rnacentral:piRNA from 1 species
UGCAGGAUUCAAGGAUAAGAUUAAUUCAGGCU